rnacentral:rRNA from 1 species
CCUACGGGAGGCAGCAGUGAGGAAUAUUGGUCAAUGGGCGCGAGCCUGAACCAGCCAAGUAGCGUGAAGGAUGACUGCCCUACGGGUUGUAAACUUCGUUUAAGAGGGAAGAGCAGAAGACGGUACCGCAUGAAUAAGCCACGGCUAACGACGGGCCAGCAGCCGCGGUAAUACGUAGGGGGCAAGCGUUGUCCGGAUUUACUGGGUGUAAAGGGCGUGCAGCCGGGAAGACAAGUCAGAUGUGAAAGCCCGCGGCUCAACCGCGGAACUGCUUUUGAAACUGUUUUUCUUGAGUACCGGAGAGGUCAUCGGAAUUCCUUGUGUAGCGGUGAAAUGCGUAGAUAUAAGGAAGAACACCAGUGGCGAAGGCGGAUGACUGGACGGCACCUGACGUUGAGGCGCGAACGCGUGGGGAGCAAACCGGAUUAGAUACCCUAGUAGUC